rnacentral:rRNA from 1 species
UACGUAGGGGGCUAGCGUUGUCCGGAUUUAUUGGGCGUAAAGAGCGUGUAGGCGGCCAGGUAGGUCUGCUGUGAAAACUCGAGGCUCAACCUCGAGACGUCGGCGGAAACCAUCUGGCUAGAGUCCGGAAGAGGAGAGUGGAAUUCCUGGUGUAGCGGUGAAAUGCGCAGAUAUCAGGAAGAACACCAGUGGCGAAGGCGGCUCGCUGGACCGGUUCUGACGCUCAGGCGCGAAAGCGUGGGGAGCGAUCCGG